rnacentral:rRNA from 1 species
GUGGGGAAUCUUGCGCAAUGGGCGAAAGCCUGACGCAGCCAUGCCGCGUGAAUGAUGAAGGUCUUAGGAUUGUAAAAUUCUUUCACCGGGGACGAUAAUGACGGUACCCGGAGAAGAAGCUCCGGCUAACUUCGUGCCAGCAGCCGCGGUAAUACGAAGGGGGCUAGCGUUGCUCGGAAUUACUGGGCGUAAAGGGCGCGUAGGCGGACAGCUUAGUCAGAGGUGAAAGCCCAGGGCUCAACCUUGGAAUUGCCUUUGAUACUGGCUGUCUUGAGUUUGGGAGAGGUGAGUGGAACUCCGAGUGUAGAGGUGAAAUUCGUAGAUAUUCGGAAGAACACCAGUGGCAAAGGCGACUCACUGGCCCAAUACUGACGCUGAGGCGCGAAAGCGUGGGGAGCAAACAGGAUUAGAUACCCUGGUAGUCC